rnacentral:snoRNA from 1 species
ACACCCCAGAUUCCUGUCCCCUCUGAUCUAAGCAGCGGUCUAAGUGGAUACCUGAAGGAGGGAAAGUAGAACUGAAGCGGACGUGGAUGCUUCAGUUAUAAACAAGC